AUGCACCUUCUCCCUUCUAGAAAUAAAAAUGAAAAAUUAGGCUUUUACAUGAAAAAUUUGAUAGAAUUGGUAAUAUGUUCAAAUUUGAGAAAUUUUUAGGUAAUUAGGCAUCUCAUAAUUUGAGGUUCGUUGGCUAUGUUGAUAUACGAUUUAGCUCCUAGUUCUAAUUUUCUAAUUUGCCAUGGCAAGUUGAACAACUGCCCAAACAACGACACAUGAAAAUAACUAAAACGAUCAACUUCAGGAGACGCGGGAGUCGUAGUUCAUUGUCUCUCUCGUUCACUCAAUUUUUCUCUCUUUUGGCUGAGAAGCUCUCACUCUCUUGGUCUCCAGAGUCGACGAGCAAAUCAGCUGCAGAAACUAAGAAAUUGAUUCCACUCUCUCUUAUUUGAGACAAGAUGGUGUUGUGCUACCCAUCAACGCCAAAGAAAAUGGCAAUGACAGUGGGUUGCUUUGUAGCUGGAGCUGCGCUUUUUGCUGUUGGUUCACGUCUUUCUUACGUUAAUGUUGCUCCUCAGCAAGCUCGAAUCAAAGCUCGAAAUGAUUUUGUUAAAGAACGUUUGAGAAAGAAACAUGGCAAAGGAUAGAAGUGAUGGUGAUCUACUCUUAAUCUGCUUCUAAUUAUUGCCUUCUGGUCCCUUCCAUUCAUAAAGAGAUGCAGCAGUUCUAAUACAGUUAUUUUCCUUUUUCUUUUCUUUUUUUCCUGAAAUGUGUAAUUUCCUAAAAUUUUAAAUGGAGCCAGUUACCCACUACAUCAAUAGUGUUCUAAAGAUUUUAAUACAUAUGUUAAUGAUUUUGUCUGAUUAAAUUGA